CCUGGGCCUGGCUGCCCGCCCCGCAUGAGUGACCGGAGGCAGCGGGCCAUGGGGCGAGCGCGCCGCGGAGGUCGACGGGCGACGGGGAUGGGUGCGUCGGAGUCGGAGGGGACGACAUCGACGGAGGAGAUGCAGUGACGCCGGCCGGCCACGGAGGCGCGCGUCCUGAGCAACCCCGCGCGUGAGGCCGCCGGAGGAGAGCGACGUGCUGCACACAACGUGCUCGACACAUUGCGUCCUCGCGCCUGCCUGGCCGCCUCGUCGCGUCCCGUCCUCGCCUCGCCUCGCCUGACGCGCUCGGGGAGCACGUAGGCAGCACGCUGACGUUGCCGGUACCCCCCAUGGACACCGCCUACCGUGGCAGAGCUCCCCGGCAUGCCUCACUGGCAGCCAAGCACAAAACUUUCUCAAAAUAUGGGUGAAAUGGGUUCUGCUGACCUACUUUUUCCAACCAUUAUAGUGAGCUGUCAUGUCAUUACAUAAACCAGUAAGGCUCACUGAUAAUUCAUUCACAUCAUGAUAAAAGGGCCCUCGGGUUAGAGGAUAAUAACAAAAGAAAAAUCAGUACUAGUAAGGCCAUUGGUACCUGUCUUUCUUGGCAUUAUUUAAUUAAGCAAGAAUGAGAAACUUGGAUACAAGAGCGGUGUAAAACAGUAUAGACUAUUAAUGGAAAAGAUGAAUGAUUUGACAA